GCCAGUGUGGCACAGUGGUUUGAGUGUUAGAUGAUGAUUCUGGAGGCCAGGAUUCAAUUCCCAGCUCAGCCA